UUGCAACAGAGGAAAGUGUGAACGGUCUUUUUUCCUGUUUGG
rnacentral:sRNA from 1 species